UUUUAAUUAACUUCAUAAAUGAUAUUACUUAAUAUAUAUAUCUUGCAUUUUUGUUAGAACAAGUGAGCUCUCACAUUCAUUCAUAAUUAGUAAAAUACGGAAGGAAAAAAAAUGCGAAUUAAAUACGUAUGUUUUUUAUUCGGCAAUAUCUUGGCACAUUACAACUUAAAAGUUCGGCCACUAUACUGUAUUUUUUAAAUAUAUAUUAUUUUUAUUCAAUAAUAUGUGAGUGUAUACGUGUGUUAAACAUGAAAAACACGUACGUGCAUGUAUAAUACGUAACCUUCGAAGUCUCUAAAUGUAUUCAUUAAGCCCUUCAAGACCUUAAUUAAAGUAAUUCAAGGGCUUCAAAUAUAUUUUCACAUUGAGCUUCAAGUACUUACUAAUUCAAGUAAUUCAAAAAGGCUAAGAUAUAAAUUAAUUACAUAUAUGAAAUUAAAGAAGUUGGCAAAAAAAAUCAAAAGUAAAAAAACUGAUUGUAUAUUUUCAAAAUUCGCUAGGUUAGCAGGGUACAGCCGCUCGGCUACACUAUUUUAAAAAAAAAAUUAAGAAAAUCUAGUAUAGCCGGGCGGCUAUACUAUUUAUAUACGUAAUAGGGAUCCAGCCAGCACCUAGGCCCCACGUGUCAAACCAUGCGGCCGUACUGUUCCGAACAUUUAAAAAAAAAAAAAAGGGGUUAGAGGCGAGUAUGGCCGCGCGGCUAUACGAUAUUUUAAAAAAAUUUAAAAAUCUAUUAUAGCCGGGCGGCUGUACUAUUUAUAUACAUAAUAGGGAUCCAGCCAUCACCUAGGCGCCAUGUGUCAAACCAUGCGGCUGUACAGUUCUGAACAUUUUUUUUUUAAAAAAAAGGGUUAAAAGCGAGUAUAGCCGCGCGGCUAUACUAUUUUUGAACAGAAUUUAAAAAUCUAGUAUAGCCGGGCGGCUAUACUAUUUAUAUACAUAAUAGGGAUCCAGCCACCACCGAGGCGCCACAUGUCAAACCAUGCGGCUGUACAGUUCUGGACAUUUUUUUUUAAAAAGGAUUAAAAGCGAGUAUAGCCGUGCGGCUAUACUAUUUUUAUAUUUUCAAAAGGGUCAAUAAUGUUUUUUUAAAAAAGGUUAUUUUUAGUAAUUAAACAAUAUCUUAGCCUGAUUUAAUUACUUGAAUUAUGAAUUAUGUUCUAACUACUAUUUAUCUAGUGAAUAAUUGGUAUUAGAUAUUUUAAUUAACUGCAUAAAUGAUAUUACUUAAUAUAUAUAUCUUGCAUUUUUGUUAGAACAAGUGAGCUCUCACAUUCAUUCAUAGUUAGUAAAAUACGGAAGGAAAAAAAUGCGAAUUAAAUACGUAUGUGUUUGAUUCGGCAAUAUCUUGGCACAUUACAACUUAAAAGUUCGGCCACUAUACUGUAUUUUUUAAAUAUAUAUUAUUUUAUUCAAUAAUAUGUGAGUAUAUACGUGUGUUAAACAUGAAAAACACGUACGUGCAUGUAUAAUUCGUAACCUUCGAGGUCUCUAAAUGUAUUCAUUAAGCCCUUCAAGACCUUAAUUAAAGUAAUUCAAGGGCUUCAAAUAUAUUU
rnacentral:lncRNA from 1 species